AGUGGGAAGAUAAUAAAUUUUGGAGGGGUAGAUAUGGAAAGAGGUAUAACAUAGUCCAGCUAUUAAAUUUAAACAAUUUUGAUUACAAAAAUUUAGUCCUUUAAUUUUACCUGGCAUAUAAGAGUGSCAGCAGCCGCGGUUAAACUCUAAGUUAAACUAUUAUUACAAUCAUAUCUACGAUAUAAAAAUAAAAUAUGCUAUACUAGUAAAAUAGAUAGCAUUUUAUACCUAAUGAUUUAUUAACUUAUAAAAUAAGAAUCUAGAAGCUAGGAUUAGAUACCCUACUAUCCUUGAUUKUUCAGUAGUAUGGGGCUGCGUUAGGGGAKUGGAGCCCGGKUUUUAUGGCGGCAGUUAGGUUUAUGGCGGCAAUUAUAAUUUACAGGGGAACUUACCACAUAAUAGACAACCACCAAGAAGAUGUACCUUUUAAAAAAAUUUGUAUACCGUCGUAUAAUGAAUCCUUUAAGGGUUAAUAAAACUUAAUAAAUUUAUCUUAUUACAGAUCAAGGUGCAAUAAAUUAAGAGGCGUAGGCGAGUUACAAUAAAUAUCAUUUCGGAAGUUGGCUUUAAUUACCUAAAGGAAGGUGGACUUGUAAGUAUAUAUUAUUGGUAUUAUUAAUGGAAUAAAUCAUAUAAUUGUGCACAAAUCGCCCGUC
rnacentral:rRNA from 1 species